ACCGCAGGCACACAGGCACAUUGGACGCUGUGGACUGAGGGACAGAGGGCACCAGGUGGAAAGGGUGGAGCCAACCAGAUGGCAAAAGGUUUGGAGGAACACGAGUGACCUCUCUCCGGGGCCAGAAUUUGAAUGCGAACCAGCUUCAUGAAAUGUCCAGUAUGGUUGGGUUUUUCAUAGCAAACAGAGAAGGAGCCGAGCUUUGUGACCAGCUUGGAGACCAGCUGAAAGCCAGACAAGAGUAGACAUGCAGGAGCGAGCAGUGAGAGACAUACCAGAAGGGAGCCUAGGAGCCUCUCUGGUAAUUGGGUGUAACAUCUGAGGGAGGAAGGAAUGAGAUGAUUGGUAUGAAAGUCCACUGCAAAGAUGAAGCUCCCUACGUUGAAGCACAUUUAAUUAGUCCUCACAACAAACCUUCAGUGUCAUUAUUAUUAGGCCUAAUUUACAGAUGAAGAAACCAAGGUUCAGAGCUCAUCUAAAUUCAGACCCAUCAGACAACAAAACAAGCCCUGAACUUUGUAUGUGAGGGACAUAAACAUGUGUAACACAAAGUUAUGCCUUUGAUGGUUUGCAAUCUGAAUCAGAAUAAACAACAUUAAGGGCUGAUCUUGAUCAAAGAAAUCUACGUACAGGAGACAGGACUUGAGUUGGGCUUUGGAAGUUGUGCAAUAAUCACUUUCAGGAAAAGACACAAGAACAUUUUGAGAGCGAUCUGGUUUGUUUCUUUUUAAACAGUUAGUACCAGAAUGGGGAUUUGAACUCUGCCAUUACUCAUCACAACUUAAUUUGCACUCUGUGUUUUUUUAAAAAUAGACUUUUUUUAGAGCAGUCUUAGGGUAACAGCAAUAUUGAGCAGAAAAUACAGAGAUUUUCCAUAUACCUCCUUCCUGACAGAUGCAUAGCUUCCCCCAUUAUCAACAUCCCCCACCAGAGCAGUGUAUUUGUUACAACUGAUGAACCUGCACUGACACAUCAUUAUCACCCAAAGUCCAUGGUUUUCAUUAGGUUCACUCUUCAUGCUAUACACCCUCUGGGUUUGGACAAAUUUUAAAUAACAUGUAUCCACCAUUGUAGUAGUUCUGCUGCCCACCACAGAAUAGUUUCACUGCCCUAAAAAUCCUCUGCUCUCCGCCUAUUCCUUCCUCUCCCCUGUUCCCUAACAACCACUGACCUUUUUUUACUAUCUCUGUACUUUUGCCUUUUCCAAAAUGCCAUAUAGUUGGAGUCAGACAUCAUGUAGCUUUUUUAAACUGGCUUCUUUCACUAAAUAGUAUGCACUUAAUAAUAUGCAUUUAUUUCCUCCAUAUCUUUUCAUGGCUUAAUAGCUCAUUUCUCCC